UACAUGGGGUGCAAACGUUGCUCGGAAUUAUUGGGCGUAAAGCGCGCGUAGGCGGUUGCUUAAGUCGGAUGUGAAAGCCCUCGGCUUAACCGGGGAAGUGCACCCGAAACUGAGCAGCUUGAGUACGAAAGAGGGUCGCGGAAUUCCCGGUGUAGAGGUGAAAUUCGUAGAUAUCGGGAGGAACACCGGUGGCGAAGGCGGCGACCUGGGUCGAGACUGACGCUGAGGCGCGAAAGCUAGGGGAGCAAACGGG
rnacentral:rRNA from 1 species